rnacentral:misc_RNA from 1 species
GGAAUACCUCUCGAAGAAAAAUGAGAAACUGAAAACAAAGCAAGAAAGGACCUCUGAAUGUGAACCAGAGGUGGAAAAUAUAUCAAUACCACUACUGGAAGAAGAGAGCAUUGGUGAUAUGAACCAGCUGUCUGAUAAAGCAGGAAAAGAAUUUGAUCGAUUGCCUUUAUGUGGAACAUCUGAUUUUGCUUAUGAAGAUUCCAGCUUCAAGCAAGAAGAAUUUCUUCCAACAAGCAACAGUGCUGUAGCUGCACUGAACAAAGGGAAGUGCUAUCAAAGUCUGAGUUCAGAUGAUGAUGAAAACAGCAGAUAUGAAGAGCUUAAAUCACUUGAUUUGUCAUCACCUGAACAAGAAGCAACAGUUGGUGAUUUAAGCUCACAACUUGGUGAGAUCAAAAUCUUUCAG